rnacentral:rRNA from 1 species
GAUGAACGCUGGCGGCGUGCCUAAUACAUGCAAGUCGAGCGAACAGACGAGGAGCUUGCUCCUCUGACGUUAGCGGCGGACGGGUGAGUAACACGUGGAUAACCUACCUAUAAGACUGGGAUAACUUCGGGAAACCGGAGCUAAUACCGGAUAAUAUAUUGAACCGCAUGGUUCAAUAGUGAAAGACGGUUUUGCUGUCACUUAUAGAUGGAUCCGCGCCGCAUUAGCUAGUUGGUAAGGUAACGGCUAACCAAGGCAACGAUGCGUAGCCGACCUGAGAGGGUGUUCGCCCACCGUGAAACUAGACCCCGUCCCAGCCCCCGCCGGGGGGCGCCGUACGGAAUUCUCCCCAAAUGGGCGAAGUUUGGACGAAGCACCGCGGCGGGAGGGUUAAGGGUCUUCGGUUCUAAAAACUCUUUUAUUGGGAAAAAAAAAAUGUUUAAUAAAUUAUCCCCUUCUGGAGGGUCCCUAAUAAGAAGCCCACGGCUACCUCCGUC